rnacentral:rRNA from 1 species
AACAUACCGAAAGGUAUGCUAAUACAAGAUGAUAUAAGAGAUUCGCAUGGAUUUCUUAUCAAAGCUCCGGCGGUAUGAGAUGGACCCGCGUCUGAUUAGCUAGUUGGUAAGGUAACGGCUUACCAAGGCGACGAUCAGUAGCCGACCUGAGAGGGUGAUCGGCCACAUUGGAACUGAGACACGGUCCAAACUCCUACGGGAGGCAGCAGUGGGGAAUAUUGCACAAUGGGCGAAAGCCUGAUGCAGCAACGCCGCGUGAGCGAUGAAGGCCUUCGGGUCGUAAAGCUCUGUCCUCAAGGAAGAUAAUGACGGUACUUGAGGAGGAAGCCCCGGCUAACUACGUGCCAGCAGCCGCGGUAAUACGUAGGGGGCUAGCGUUAUCCGGAUUUACUGGGCGUAAAGGGUGCGUAGGUGGUUUCUUAAGUCAGGAGUGAAAGGCUACGGCUCAACCGUAGUAAGCUCUUGAAACUGGGAAACUUGAGUGCAGGAGAGGAAAGUGGAAUUCCUAGUGUAGCGGUGAAAUGCGUAGAUAUUAGGAGGAACACCAGUAGCGAAGGCGGCUUUCUGGACUGUAACUGACACUGAGGCACGAAAGCGUGGGGAGCAAACAGGAUUAGAUACCCUGGUAGUCCACGCCGUAAACGAUG